AGCGAACGCUGGCGGCAGGCUUAACACAUGCAAGUCGAACGCCCCGCAAGGGGAGUGGCAGACGGGUGAGUAACACGUGGGAACGUACCCUUUGGUUCGGAAUAACUUGGGGAAACUCAAGCUAAUACCGGAUAAGCCCUUAUGGGGAAAGGUUUACUGCCGAAGGAUCGGCCCGCGUCUGAUUAGCUAGUUGGUGAGGUAAUGGCUCACCAAGGCGACGAUCAGUAGCUGGUCUGAGAGGAUGAUCAGCCACACUGGGACGCAGACACGGCCCAGACUCCUACGGGAGGCAGCAGUGGGGAAUAUUGGACAAUGGGGGCAACCCUGAUCCAGCCAUGCCGCGUGAGUGGUGAAGGCCUUAGGGUUGUAAAGCUCUUUUACCCGGGACGAUAAUGACUGUACCGGGAGAAUAAGCCCCGGCUAACUUCGUGCCAGCCGCCGCGGUAA
rnacentral:rRNA from 1 species